CCUACGGGUGGCAGCAGUGAGGAAUAUUGGUCAAUGGGCGGGAGCCUGAACCAGCCAAGUCGCGUGAGGGAAGACGGUCCUAUGGAUUGUAAACCUCUUUAGGCGGGGAGCAAUGCCGGGCACGUGUGCCCGGAGGGAGAGUACCCGCAGAAUAAGCAUCGGCAAACUCCGUGCCAGCAGCCGCGGUAAUACGGAGGAUGCGAGCGUGAUCCGGAUUUAUUGGGUUAAAGGGGUGCGUAGGCGGAUUUUUAAGUCAGCGGUAAAAUGUCCGGGCUGAACCCGGGCCGGCAGGUGAAACUGGGGAUCUUGAGUGCGCGAGAAGUAUGCGGAAUGCGUGGUGUAGCGGUGAAAUGCGUAGAUAUCACGCAGAACUCCGGUGGCGAAGGCAGCAUACCGGCGCCCGACUGACGCUGAGGCACGAAAGCGUGGGGAUCGAACAGGAUUAGAUACCCUAGUAGUC
rnacentral:rRNA from 1 species